ACUGAAGCUGCCAAACAGAGGCAGUGGGGCUGCCAAAAACCAAACUUAACGUGUUGAUGUAUAAAAGUUUCGACAUUGAAUUUCAUUCGAGAACACACAUUAUUUGACAUUGUCCGAUUAUAGUGAGCUUUUGGAAAUAACUCCGCCAACGUAAAGUUUUCUUUUAUUUCUCGAUUUGUGAAUAGUGUCUGUGUCCUUAUUUGUCCUUAUUCUCUACAUGUGGUACAAAGCAGUCAAGUCAAGCAAAUGUUUCAAACAGCCCAGGAUUAUCAGAUUACAUUAAUUCAGGGAGUGAAUUUGUUCCAACUUCAUUGAAUAUUCAACCUCUCCAUGUUGAAAAGGGAGCGACUUCUUGAAGAACAUUUUUUCUGUCGUUAUCUACCAGUCCUAAGUUACCCACCACUUAGUACAAAUACAAUAACACAAAGUCUAAGCUGUUCAAGUAUAGUGUGACUCUGUGACGGAUGAAGUACUCUGCCACCUCCAGUCUACAUGGGAGUCGAAGCAGUGGAUCACAGUUCAACAUCUGUUUUGAUCAUUUAAAUUGCUAGCUAUUCCGGUAAGAGGGCGGUACAGGAACUAUUGAGGAAGUUGGAGCUUCUUUUCGGUACUCUCCGAACAGGCGUUCGAAUGAUAAUUAAUUCAAGCAUUUUGCCACGAGAAGAUUAUUUGUCACGCAAUUACAAUUAGAAAAAAAAGCAAAGAUUGAGCUAACCAGAAUGUAUUUGCCAAUGUCAUGCAGAAGAUGCUUUAUUUUCAGCUAUUGAUCAAAUAUUUUAAACGGUAUUAUAAUUUCCUUUUUUUUCAGUCGUUUGUCGUAGCCGAAAUUCGUGACGAUUGCGUUCAUUUUCGUUCGUUCUGCGCGCUUCGGCCGGGGAUGAAACCGCAAGUGUUUGCAGUUUCAUCGGUUUCUCUCCAAGGGCCGGUGUGUCUCUUCAGGUAACAGUAACCGCCCGCGUGAGUAAAGUGGGUGCAUUGAGAGUUGGCGAUGCAGAUGCCACCGCAUUGCUCGCCAGAGCUGGGCUUGUUGUCGAUGACAUUGCCAACAAAAUGACAAUUGUAGUCCCAGCGAACCAAUCCGUUGUCGCCUACAUUCCAGAAUCGAGCGGACACGGUUGUCAGAGACACGGCAGCCAUGAGCAGGAAAAUUGACAAGACAUUCAUCCUAUCAAAGACUGUAGGAAGGAGAUGGAACACACAGAUCAACUGAUGUUUCUUGGUUUGAAUCUCGAGUCGAAGUGGAUCCUUUUAUACGGAUGAAACUGCAUCAGAUGUCUUGAGCGUGAGUAGCUUCGGGAUAUCACGCACGUCGAUAAUAGAAAUUGUUGGGUGACGUCGACGGUCAACUUGGCAGAUAUGACCGACCGUGCAAGAGGACGAUUGAAUUUCAUCAGCUAUGCUGUUUUCCUCUUCUCUCUGAGCUUCUACUGAGCCACAGUCAUCAGCUUCUCCACACGUGAUUCGCGAUCAGGCGCGGCAACAUUUUCCCUUCCGGAACCCAUCACCUGGAAACUGUCAAGGACCUUUGCCCAGCUUAUAUAAAAUGUCAUGUCCAUAACAGAUGACUAGAUACGUCCAACUUCAACGAACAAGUCAAUGAUUUGCUUUCGUGAGAUGACUUUCCUUUUUAUAUUGGCCGGCUGCUGCUGCUGGGACUCGGGACACUGAUGAUGAAGCACCAAACCCUUAUUAGAAGAUUCGCCGUCCAUAUUUAAUAAGCGUGUAUGCUGCGAUGAAUCGAGCAAUAACCGCACUUGGAAAAAGGGAGGAGACAAAUCAAUCGGACCAGAUGUCGGGAAUUGGUAAAUUAUUGGCGAGGACACAGACGGAAUACAUAAGAGUAAGCAACAGCAGCACGGGUCCUCAAUAACUCCGGUUAUUCCGGCUAAACGGACACCAUGUAUAGACCGAUGUGUAUAGAUAUGCUGUCCAACCGACCCUUGUCUACACUGGUGCACAUCAUUCAACUAUUAAAGAAACCUGGGCCAUCCAGCGGUUACGCGUCGUUGUGCAUCUGACAUUCGAUACAUUAUCCAUUACAGCCUGAAUUGUCAUUGCAUCCAACAUCAUGUUUUCUGCAUUUGUCUCACAUUUAUCUUUUUGUAUAGAGAAAACCAGUUUUGACGUGUGGCGAAAGAUUUUUCUGGUAUGUAAUGACAAAUGACACGCAAUGAUCCACUUCAAGCACUAAGAAAAGUUUUAGUUUCGUUGCAGGAUGAGUCAACGCCCUUUGCAGUUUUCUUGUGCGUGCAUGUACCUACCAAAGUGCAGUUCACUUCACCUUGAAAUAUUUUAUGAUUAUUCUUCAAUAUUUGUUGAUUUAUUCUCCAACGUCUUUUGCUCUCCAUUUCAUUUCGUUUCUUUUUCUAAUUUUUAUUAUGGCGUUGGACCAGGAGUUGGGAAUACUUUUAUGGCAACAUUUUAUUAUUGGGAAUGUAGAAUUGAUUAUAAGAGACAUUUUCGAGACCGUGGAGAGCCACUAACAUCAACAGUACAAGGAGUUGACAACUAAAACAAAUCUAAUGGAAAUUUUAUUCGUAACGUCCAAGGGGUUGUCAUAACUUUCUUGAAGUUGGGCCUUUUUACCAAUCUAACGUAGCACAUGCUGAGGAGUACUCGAACAAAGGUGUUGGAGGUCGGAGAUGUUUCCUCACAUGUUAUUGUUGGCAGGGCUCCUAUUUAUUCUUGCUCCGACACUUCCCUCAUGAGAAAAAUAGAUCUCGUGACGUAAGAGGGUAAGGAUCAGUUUGAUUUCAAUAACUGCUUGUUAAUAAGACUGAUACGGUUGUAGGAGUGAAUGUGCUGAUGUGCCCUUUUCCACAUAAUGCAGUUUUCUUCUAGUCUUUGCGAAUAGAGUUGAUAAGAAAACCUGAUUUAGUCAUUUUUGGGGAAGCCCGAGCAUUAUCACAUGCUUCAAUCAAUGUUUCUAGCUGUCAUCACAUUUCUUUAUCUCGUCUCCACUCUCCAGUAAAUUAAUUCGUUGAAUUGAUUAUAAUUGGAUUCUGAUUGAGAAUGACAUCCAGCAAAAGAGAUGAAAAGUCAAGUCUCAACCAACCAGCACAAUGAUCCCAUCAUCCUCUACUCCAUCGGCCCGUAGCAACAAGCAUGACGUGUGCCAUUACGUCAUAUUCAAUACCGACAUUUUGUCCACUUCUGUCCAGUCCGAGUCGAUUUAUAGAAAAUGGCGUUAAUCAAAGGACAUGAUAUAUUACCAAUCACGCUAUGACGGAAGAGAAAUGCAUAUUGUAUCGAUCCCAUACCGUCCACUUUUUUCAAAUCACGCGCCAAAAUUGGUGCGACACGAGACAAUGGGCCGUGGGAGGAGGUGGGGUGAUGAAAUGAAAUUCAAGAUGGCCGCCACUUUUCGAACCCCUCCCCUUUUCUUGAGAAAAACUAGGCCGGCGGGGGCGGGGCUAAUUUUCAGUUGGUCCCUGAGCCUCUGCCUGUACGGUUGUUCCACAGUGUCGUGGUGUCGUCGUCUCUGUGACACCGAAAUAGUUUCUUGUUUCUUUAUUCCGUCAGUUAUUUAGAAUUUUGUUUUUGUGCUGGACUAUAUUAAACUAUUAAAGGCGUUUCCUGAAUGAUUGCAGCCAUCCAGUUUUAGUUUUGCUUCGUUAUUUAAAGGUAUGGAAUGAACAAAGGUGCGUGACUCAUCGUUAAUUUUCCCGCCAUGUUGAGUUAUCAGCCAGAAGUAGGAGAAAAUGGUGGAAUGUGCAAUGAAAUUAGAGCUGUAGUUAUAUUUUACAUAUUGGCUUUCAUUCGACUUGAUGGUAGACAAAAUGUUGCACGUCUUUGAAAGAAAUAGUCAUUCUUAUAGUCUGGGCUGACGAACCAAUUCUGAUGGGUAGGCAACACGCGGGAAAUGUGUUGGCAAUACAAACAGAAAUCUCAAUUCAUCAAGAUUACAUCAAUUAAUAUUUGAGUUUUUAAAUAGCUGGCUUUCAAAAUACCUGACGGAAAAGAAAGUCGAAUUGAUCCUGCUCGGUAACAACACAGUGUCAAGUCAGUUUCUUGAAAGAUGGAUCAACCCUGCAUAUUAUUUCAUUUUCUGGUGAAGUAUCAUCCACAAUUCUGUAUUGUUGUAAUGUUUAAUUUGACAUGAGGUCUCUUAAUUUUUUUAUUUUUUGUUCGUUUUUGCUUGGGCUAAACAAGAUCCUUCCUGGAAACUCUAUACGACAUCAUCUGGCAUUUUGUGGCUAAAUCUGAGUGGAAAUUUAAACCGUGGUCCACCUCUGCUGGAAAUCCUGUGUGUUUGUUUGCUCCUUUUCUAACAUAUUUGUGCAACAUCUACAUGGAUGUGGAACUAUUAGAGCGCAACAACAACCGGAAGUAGUAAUGGACCUUUUCGUGAGGAUUAAGUGGAACGCACUACAUGGUCCGUUGUUUCUUGCCACAGUGGUAAAGCUGUCAGCCGAAAGCGAUGCCUCCAUUGACCGUGGGACCUGUUUGAUCACCAGCCAUACGAAACGGACAUGUGUUGUCGGAAAUCUGAAGAGUUGACGGAUUAAACAACCCUCACCGUCUCUGUGGAUUAGAUUCAGGUUUCGCGAUCACGCUCGAAACGCUAGCACAAUCAGAAUCAGACGCUUAUGGUGUAGCUCGUAGCUUGGCUGGUGGUAGCUGUUGAUUCCAAUUAUGGUCCAGGCACCGGCGUCGGGAGAGUGACAACUGGGCCACUGCUGAUAACAAUUGGUGCGAUCAAAUCUUAAUCUACCUAUUCCAGCCGGCCGGAAGAAAAAGCGGAAGAAACGACAAAACCGAAAGAAGAGGUAUCAGCACCCGUAGUCCAUCCGCCAAUCCAGCCGUUAGUUGAGCCAUUAAUCCAGCCGGAAGAACCAGCUGAAUUUGUCCCGGCUCAACCCGGAGUUGUGGCCAUCAGUGCUGUUGCAUCAGUCCAACAGCAGCCGAAUAUUGUUGCCGUUUCAACGCCGGAAGUCAGCGUGCGGACCAAGCGGAGGACGAGCGUCAAAGUCACCAGUUCCGGCCAGCAGACGACGUUGACUUUUCAGAAAAAAUCAUCCGCCAAUUCGGAUGAGAAUAUUCAGAAGAACCCACAGAGGCGGACUCGGAGUUGCAUCGUCGACGACACUUUCAGAUUCCAUCAAAAACAAAACAGCCCGUUGCCUCUCAACUGACGCCUGCAAUUCAAUCGGGAUCGACUUCCGCCUCGAAACUGGCAGCCCCACAUUUUGCGGCCUAUACAAUCCCUUUUGAAUUCCGGUGAACUGACUCAUGACCUGGACCUAGUGUCAAAGUGAGCUACCAUGUUUGGUGAUGGAUUCGUGAGAAAGAAAGUUGGCAGCUGUCAUACCCUUUCUGGAAUCAAAUGGCGAUUCACGGCCAAUUACGCUGCCAUCUUUUGGAUUGGAUUAAAAAAUGAAGUUAUCGAGACAUGUUGGUGAUAAUUGAUCGAGUUGAGAUCCGAACGUGUUUUGUGUUUGAACGAAAAUUGAAAAGUAAACACUACGACCUUCAACAGAAAGAUGAAAACAAAAAUCCCACUUGAACAAAACGGCAAAUUUCAACAACACGAAGGCGACACCCAAUCAACCUCCGAAUUGAAAGUACAGACUGAGAGCCACCAAGUCAUUUGCAUUCUGUUCACGGUGAAGGUUGAGAUCCAACAGCGAAAAAAGUCGCAAUUCGACAUCGCGGGGAAUCCUGAGAAUUCACUGGCCGACGUAAGAAGAAUCGACUUCCUUGCCCUCUGUGUGACACUUUGCAUUAGCAAUAAAUUCAGUAAAGUGAUGGCAUUACAAAACGUCCUCUAAUCUCCGGAUAAAAGCGAAGAACGGUGGGGCAGGACGUCUUAAAUGAGUCGUUGCAGUGGAAGCGUCAACACGAGUUACACUACACGGCCAACAAUAGUAGGUGGUGACGUCGACGGUCGACUUGGCGGAUGUGGUGGCGAUGGUGGCGAUUGUAUAACCAAUAAUCAAGAGCCGGUAGCAACCCUGCCUCCCUUCCGGAACCAUCAACUGUCAACAACCAUUGUCCAGCCUAAUUGUGUCCAAUAGAUACCGUUUAGUUUUGCCUGUGCUGGUAUUAUCAUCGGCAGUGGACUACUGCCUGAGCGAUCGAUAGGUCAACCUGUUUGGAGUUUGGACGGAUAUUGGACCAACUCUCACUCUUUCUCCUCCCUCUCAUGCCCUCACGAGUGUACAUUCAUGUGCAUGUGAAUGUAUAGGAUUCACGAGCAUGUCCUAUCGUCUCGCCCUCGUUUAUUGUCUUGGCGUCCACCUGGAUUUCUUCUGCUGUGUGAAUGCGGGGCACCUGCGACGGUGUGUCGAGCGUCAAUUCCCAGUCUCCUGCUUCAAGUCGGCCGUUUGCAAGUUGAAAACAUUUAUCUGGCAGCAGCGCCUAGUCGAAAACAAAAUGUCUGACCGUCAACGUCAAGUGUCUCUACAGUCCACACCCAACUUUAUCUGCAAAAGUGUUGAUGCUGCAGUUUAAAUCGACUCUGUGAUGAAACUAGUUUUAGGAAAAGAAGGCCCUAAAUGAAGGAGAAAGAAUCAAUCGGUCCAAAUCAGAGCAGCCGUUGAUUAUGAUGCUGGCUGUCUAAUUACAAAAGGAAAGCUUUGCGUACCUGCAGUCUCACAGUUUGGAUACUCCCUUUCGUGUGGUGUACUUGAUCUGUUCAAUUCUAAUCGAAUCAUCUUUCGAUUCAAUCGAGGCCUGGCUCGUCCCAACAUUUCAACAUUUCCUUCCGUCCUUCAGUUUUCUCGUCGCAUUUGGGCGACCUGGACGCAACCAUUCAACUUGGGGUGCUAGAAAUUCGAUAUUUACUGCACUCGGUGACUCGGAAGUACUAUCCACGAUUAGAAACACUCGUAAAGUCAUUGUCUUUGCUUGAAUUACUCAGACACAAAAUUAGAUUCAGACUAUUGGUGUAGCUCGUAGCUUGGGCUCGUGUAGCUGUUGAUUGUAAGGAUGGUCCAGGCACCUGGCGUCGGGAGAGUGACAACUGGGCCACUGACGUCAUCCCAUCAUCAUCCCAUCAUUUUUAUAGCGACACAUUUAAAUUUUAGCGCGUAAAGCAAAAUGAUGUCGACAACUGAGAGGAGAAUUCUUUUUUACUUACUUUACAUGAGAAUUUAUUAUUAU